rnacentral:rRNA from 1 species
AACGAACGCUGGCGGCAUGCCUAACACAUGCAAGUCGAACGAGACCGCCGGGUCUAGGGGCGCACGGGUGCGUGACGCGUGGGAACCUGCCCUUAGGUUCGCAAUCACUCCCCGUAAGGUGUGCUAAUACCGGUGAAUCUCUUCCGACCAAAGAGUUAUCGCCUUUGGGUGGGCCCUCGUUGGAUUAGCUAGUUGGUAGGGUAAGAGCCUACCAAGGCGACGUUACAUAGCUGGUGUGAGAGGAUGAGCAGCCACACUGGGAAUGAGACACGGCCCAGACUCCUACGCGAGGCAGGAGAGGGGAAUAUUGGAGAAUGGGGGAAGGCCUGAUCAAGCAAUGCCGGGUGAGUGAUGAAGGCCUUAGGGUUGUACAGUUGGUUUACCCGGGAUGAUAAUGACAGUACCGGGAGAAUAAGCACCGGCUAACUACGUG